GCCUCGAUCAUACGUGAUAAGGUCAUAUGAGCACACAUAAAUACAUAUAUGGUCGGUGCAACCGCUGGUCAAGAUUCUAUUACCGCUAAUUGAUAAUGGAAAUAAUAAUGAUUUUCUACUCCAAAAAUUCAUAUCUGUAGCUGUAUAUUAGGCAAAACCUUAAAGCUUUCGGAAUUUUGUGUCUCAUUGCUAUCACCUCUGUUUUUAAUGCUGUCUUGAUACCAAUUAUAGAUAGAGCAUCGCUGAUGAGUCUGUUGUAGAUGAAAUACACGUAUUGUAUACACAAUUUGAAUUCUGGUAUCUAGGAUUAUAUUUCACCGGCAAAUAUUUUAUACCUUGAUGGUACUCAGAAUAAAAUUGUAUGCGACUACUAUUUGGCUGAUACAAUGUUGAACUUACCAAAGGUAGAAAAUAUAACAAAUGUAUUUAGGAAGGAACCAAUAUGUUAAAAAAAUUACCUGCCCCAUUAGCUAAGAAACGCUUUUUGAACUUCAAUGUUUGGUGAACUGUUGUCGCAAAAGUUAUAAAUAUAUUUUGGUUGUACCACAACGCUGAUAUUUCUAGAAUUGUUUGAUGUUACCCACUGUUGUUCUAGUUUCUGCAUUUUUAAAAAAAUGAAAUAUUUAUUAUACUGGUAUUUUAUGGAAAAUAUAUAACACAUAAUUGCAUUCUUGUCACCUAAAAGAUUCUUUUUGGC
rnacentral:lncRNA from 1 species